UAAAACGUAGGUGGCAAGCGUUAUCCGGAUUCACUGGGCGUAAAGCGCACGCAGGCGGCCUGGUAGGUAGGGCAUGAAAUCUCCUGGCUUAACUAGGAGGGGCUGUCCUAUACCGCCGGGCUUGAGGGUGGGAGAGGGAAGUGGAAUUGCCGGUGUAGUGGUGAAAUGCGUAGAGAUCGGCAGGAACACCAGUGGCGAAGGCGGCUUUCUGGCCCACACCUGACGCUCAAGUGCGAAAGCUAGGGGAGCGAACGGGAUUAGAAACCCCGGUAGUCCUAGCCGUAAACGAUGCACACUAGGUGUCGGGGGUAUUGACCCCCUCGGUGCCGCAGCAAACGCGAUAAGUGUGCCGCCUGGGGACUACGGCCGCAAGGUUA
rnacentral:rRNA from 1 species